CUACUGCAUAAUCCUUGGUUAAGAGGCACACUUAGGUAUCAAGACCCAAUUGAAUACAACACUAUGUACUGUCUCCUCUUUCACUUUAUUUGCCUGGUGUAUUCAUGAAUCUUGCCCGGAGCAGAAGAGUUCAGAAAAUUGUUAUGCAGGUCUGCUAAGAGAAAGCAUUUACUGUUUGAUGUGCACGGAGUAACGGAAGGCUUUUUAAAAUAAAAUAUGCCACGAAGUAGUCAAGUGUCACGACAGAGCUAACCCCGUGGGAGUCAUGAGGAGACUAAAAUUAUCUCCAGUUGUGCAGGUGCCAGGAGCCAGACUCAGCCUACAGGUCACUUCUGCUCAUCUGGAGGUGAAACCAUGUGUCAUGACUAGUCAAAUCCUGUCUUCACUCAUCAAGAUACCCCAAGCCCCUCACCUUUGGGGAGGCGGAUUUGAGACCUAUUCUCACGUCACUUCCUCGCUUGGCUGCCU